rnacentral:rRNA from 1 species
UGUGGCUGGGGGUGAAAGGCCAAUCAAACCGGGAGAUAGCUGGUUCUCCCCGAAAGCUAUUUAGGUAGCGCCUCGUGAAUUCAUCUCCGGGGGUAGAGCACUGUUUCGGCUAGGGGGCCAUCCCGGCUUACCAACCCGAUGCAAACUGCGAAUACCGGAGAAUGUUAUCACGGGAGACACACGGCGGGUGCUAACGUCCGUCGUGAAGAGGGAAACAACCCAGACCGCCAGCUAAGGUCCCAAAGUCAUGGUUAAGUGGGAAACGAUGUGGGAAGGCCCAGACAGCCAGGAUGUUGGCUUAGAAGCAGCCAUCAUUUAAAGAAAGCGUAAUAGCUCACUGGUCGAGUCGGCCUGCGCG